AGUGACUCCGCACAGCUCCUGCCGUCCGCCAGCCCAGACCUGUGCCCAGACCUGUGCGCCCUCUGUGACCCGCACUGAGAACAGAGUUGCUGGACGGAGCAUGCGCAAUACAAAGAUGUCUAUGAAUACUGCUGUGUACCCUGUCCAUACUUCCGUCAAUAAACUGAGCGCCUAGCACAGGACAGCCACUCAAUAUACAUCAGUCUUCUUCCACUGUGACGUGCCCAACAUUCCGAUUCCUGCACCAUCCUCAUGGCCAUGGGUGUCUGCUGCUUUCAGCUGCUGGAUAAUGUGCAAGGCACGGAGGUUUAUUUUGGGCUCUGGAGGACAGAAGUCCAACAGAGUGGUGCUGGCACCUGCUGCAGCUCACACGGGAGACCAGACAAGACCGCUCCAUCAUCUUUCCCUUCUUAUCACAGCACUGGUGCAAGCAGGGGUCCCACCCUCUGGAGCACCUCCAAGUCUCAUCCAGUGUCUAAAUCUGGAGAUUAAGUUAUCAAAACAGGAACUUCAGAGGACACACGCAAACCACAGCACCGCACCUUUGUGGCCUCUAAGGGGCAGCAGCUUAGCUCAGCAGCCCAACCUGUCUUCCUGCCUGACCAGCUGCUCUCCCUGGAGACGGGACUGUGGCUCAGUCACCUUUACCUUCACAGCAGCUAGAAGCAGGGUGCACCAAGUUUAUCAGUCCUCAAUAGGAUCAACUGGACAGCUUGGGGACGCUCAGGGUCAAUAACAGGGUGAAGAGACAGGCGCGCAAACUGAAGCUGAGAUAAAACUUGUGCAAAAGACCAAAUUCCCAGUAGAAGUUGGCUCCUGGAUUCGAGGCUGCUGCAGCACAGAAGGAAGCCCAGUACGUUUCCGAACAGGCAUUAACCUGGGCCAAAGGCCCUGUUUCUGAGGUCCUCACCCGACGAGUCUCCCUGGCCGAGGGCCAGGUCUGCAAUGAUGGCCCCACAGGCCCCAGGCAGCCGCUGUCAUGCUCCUCGGCUGAAGACUCACCAAGAAGGGGGCCGGGCGCCUGGCCAUGAGCGAGAUCCUCUGCAGUUUGCAAGUGCUAGGAAGCAAGCUGAGCUCAGCUAGGCUUGAGAGCUUCCCAAUCUCACCCUCCAGGUCCCAUUCCAGGGUGGGCAGCCCAGAUUUAUUCUCUGCCCCCUAAAACAGGCAGAGUCAGAUGAGUCCCCCCUAAAACAGGCAGAGUCAGAUGACUCUCUUCUUGUGUUUGUUCAACAUGAAGUCUUGGCCAUUCAUCUCUUUGGCAGAACUGAAGCUUUCUUCUAAGUCUGCACAUUAAAUUGCAGGAAGCCUUCAUCAGCGAUUCCAUAGCCCUUGAUGUCAGCUUGGUCCCAAGCUAUGAAGCCCCAGAGACCCUGACACUCAACUCAUAGCUCUGAUUCACUGUCUGUCUCCAUCAGUGCAUGGAGCCAGCUGGUCUCCUGGACCAGAGAGAAAAUUCUGAGACAAAUUCAGACCUCAGGCUUCUGGUCUACCCUGCAUCCCAGCACAGGUGGGCCUGGGGCAGAUAAGUGUCCAUGUCUGAAUGCCACACCUGGAGGCAACAAACGUGAGACAGGACACAUGACUGGACUGGUCCACAGAUGAAAGAGAUCCUUCUGAGUGCAGAUGCAACUGCCUCCCAACACAAUGACCCUCACUCGUGCUGGAAUUGUUAAGCUCAACACUGUGAUACCAGAACCUCUGAAGUCCUGAUUGCCACCUCUGUCUUACACGGGAGAAUGGCUGUGAAAACUGGACUUAGAGAAACAAACAUGGAUUCCUGGACAGCUAAUGCCACCAUCUGGGGCAGUGCAGGCUGACACAGAAGCCUCCAGCCCUCCAGGGCUAUCAGCAUGGACAUUUACAUGGGACAGAAUCAAACAUCCACUUCCUGGGUCACGCUGGCCAUGGUUCACGUGCUUGACAGGCAAAACUCCCAUCGGCUUCCAGAAGGGCAAACGUGGCAUACUUCGCUGUACCCUGAAUGUCCCAUUUGACAGGACAGGUGGGAAGCUUGGGGACAGUGCAGUUUAUCUGCAUGGGCCUCGGUUCCUUUGAUGUGGCAUGAGGAACACGACCUCCCGGAGGUCAGGUCGCAGUGAGAUGCCCUUCCUUAAUGGAGCCUACUGCACAAGUGUUACUGUUUUUCCUUUAAGGCAAAAGAUACCAAUGUAUCAGUUGUUUUUUUCUAAACUACACCCCCUAAACCCUUGGGCUUAAUGGUAAUCUCAGCACUCUACGAUGAAUCAGUGGGUUUGGGGCUGCAGUGUGGCACUCAGUCUCUAAGAAGGUUCCCCAUCGCUGUUCCAUAAUGCUGGACCUGACCUCCGGGAGGUCGUGUUCCCCAUGCCAUACCAAAGUACUCAGUGUUGACAAAAGACUAAAAUCACAGCCAGAGACGAAGCCACCUGAGACCACAGCACCCACAGCAGCUGUCGGGAGUCACCGUCAGUGGGUAACGAAAUUCAACAUCAGGCCAUGUGACGGGGGAGCUGAGUGGCACUGGUGAGGCUGUCCUCCAGCGCUGGAACCCUGGGAGACACAGAGAGUCCGAGGAGCACCAGGAGGGUGGCACGGAUGGCACCCAGGACAAAAGGAGACUCUGCUGCGACCAAGAACAAAAGGACCCCUGACACAGGAGAACAUACUGCAGAGAUGACCAGGAGGCGGCCUGAAUCGAGGUAAGGAAAAUGCAUACCGAUUGGAGGCAUCCAACAAGGGAAGUGUUUGUUACAGGGAGAGACCAAGGGAGACAGAGAAAGAGGCUUUUUGAGACACAGUCUCACCACAUAUCUCAGGAGGUUCUCCUGCCUCAGCCUCCCAAGUACAUGCAUGGAUGUGCCCGGCCAGAAGCAUGGAGAAGAGAGUUCCCGCACAGGGCAAACCCACUUCUACUUCAGAUCACCCCUGAGCCUGGAAAGCCCCCUGCCUCAUAGCUCCAUCAAAGAGAUUGCACUUCAGCAGGGCAGGCAGGGCUCAGGAACCCCCAUGUCUAACCACGCCCAAAAGACAAAAGAUACGAAUGUGUGAGCAUCAUGGGCCAGUGGUGCUGAUGGCAUAGGACCAGCCUGGACCCGCUCACACUAAGUUGAGCUGCAGGGUCACCACCUGGGAGAGAAGGUUCCGAGCUCUCCGGGAAGGCAGAGUCUGCAGCCUUGGAACCAACUCUAGAGACAGUGCUCAGGAAAAGAAACUAAAACCAGACAGAUACAGCAGGGCAAAUCUCAGUGCUGAGGAAACAGAGCCAGGCACAAAAGGCAUCAUACCAGCGAAUGGUAAAUCUAAUCUGCAGUGACCCAGAGCAGAUCAGUUCCCCAGAGAUAGAUACUAACAGGAAAAAGAACCCCAGAAAACCAAGUGGAAUUAUAAAAUAGACUUUUUUAAAGAAAAAAAAAUGUUCUAGAACAUUCUAGAAUGUUUCUAGAAUAGUCUUGAUCUUGUUGCUGCUCUGACUGUGACAUCUGACAGUACAUGUACAGCCUGUGACUUUACUAUCACUAACCCACAAAUGAUGAUUAUCUAAAAACAAGAGCCAACUGGUAAUUUCGGUUUCAUUGAGUCAGCUCAUGUCACUCCGGGAGGAUGCCAGCUAGCCAGAGGCAGGCAUAGUAAAGAGACUGUCUAAAUGUCUAUUCUGUUGGGUUUUUUAAUCCUGUGUAUGUUUCUGUGAGGCUAUGGUAGUUAUUUUUCUAAAUAAGUAAAAUUUAAAAUUCAGAGAAAGAGCUAGUAAAGUAUGUUCUUCCUUGGUAAAAUGAAUGAGAAAGUGAGGUCAGAGCCCUUGCCCGGCCUGGGAACACUGAACCGUGAGAGCUCAAUCUCUUUCAGUUUACGAAACCCUGAUUUUUGAGUGGGUACUAUAUGUCAUCCUGUAAUUUACCAAAUUUCUCUGACUUCUGAGUGAAUAUCAGUUUUUUAGCCUAUAUUCCCAUACUUGAGCAUUUUUCAUAAAUACAGGUGAGAAUAUACCAUCUGCGUGUGUGUGUGUGUGAUUUAAGGAUGUUUCUUUGCUUUGUAGCUAUCUCUCCUAUGUUUAUAUCCCUAAUCAAUUAUCUUUAGUUUUGCACAGUUAGAAAUUUCUAGAUGUGGCGGCACACAUCUGUUGUCCCAGCUACUCAGGAGGCUGAGGCAGAAGGAUCAUGUGAGUCUGGCUGACCUCAAACUUAUGAUAAUGUUCCUGCCUCAGCCUAUUCAGUGCUAGGAUUACAGGUGUGUGCUGCCACACCUGGUUUAAGCACAACCUUUUUUGGAACACCCAUGAUCUCCUUCACCCACAAUGCCAAUAUCUCCAGACCCAAUCAAAAGGAGUUCUCCAGCCUGAAUCUUCUUCUGCAGUGCUCCACCCAGACUUCAAUCCUGGCCUUCUGUACAGCCAUGUCUGAACUAUUGUCUAAUGUACGGCACUGGACGCUUCCACAUAAUGGGCAGCUAAUAAAUGUGGGCACUUCAGAGUCAAACUCAGACUCCUGCAAGUAACUUCGAGUACCAGGUACUAAAUCAUUCCAAAAUUAUAUAUGUAAACGCCAAGCAUGGUGACGCACGCCCGUAAUCUCAGAGAGGCAGCGCUGAGACAGGCACAAAUCUAAUGAGGCCAACCUGGGUUCACGGUAAGUUCCCGGCCAGCCUGAACUACACAGCGAGACCCUGUCCCAGGAAGCAAUCAAGCGAACAAGUUAAUUUCCCCCAAAAGGAAAUGGUACCAGUUAAAGUGGGGAUAUCACUAUUGCUCAAGACAAGAUUCGGGUACCUCAUAUUUCUAACAUUGACCUUUUGCUUUUCCAGAAAGUACAAGGUGUAGACAGAAUUCGGGAGGUUUAAGAGUAUUGUGAAACUGGGCAAGGUGGUGCACUCCUAUAAUCCCAGCACUCAGGGAGCUGAGGCAGGAGGAUCAUUUCGAGUUCAAGACCAACCUGGGCUACAAAGUGAGCCCAGGCCAGCCUGAACAGCAUAUCAAGACCCUGUCACAAAAGAGUAUUGUGAAAUUUGACAUCAUUGGAAAAGAAAUAUGUUCUUAAAAAAAAAAAAAAAAAAAAAAAAAACGAAGACAA